UAAUACGAGGGGAGCAAGCGUUGUCCGGAUUUAUUGGGCGUAAAGGGCGUGUAGGCGGGCCUGCAAGUUAAGUUUGAAAGAGUACGGCUCAACCGUACAAGCGGACUUAAUACUGCUGGCCUUGAGUUCGGAAGAGGGAAGCGGAAUUCCUGGUGUAGCGGUGAAAUGCCAUGAUAUCAGGAAGAACACCAGCUGCGAAGGCGGCUUCCUGGUCCGAUACUGACGCUGAGGCGCGAAAGCGUGGGUAGCGAACAGGAUUAGAUACCCUGUAGUCCACGCCGUAAACGAUGGAUACUAGGCGUCGGGAGUCUUUCGACCCUUCGGUGCCGAAGCUAACGCAUUAAGUAUCCCGCCUGGGGAGUACGACCGCAAGGUUG
rnacentral:rRNA from 1 species